GACGAACGCUGGCGGCGUGCCUAAUACAUGCAAGUAGAACGCUGAAGAGAGGAGCUUGCUCUUCUUGGAUGAGUUGCGAACGGGUGAGUAACGCGUAGGUAACCUGCCUGGUAGCGGGGGAUAACUAUUGGAAACGAUAGCUGAUACCGCAUAAAAUUGACUAUUGCAUGAUAAUUAAUUGAAAGAUGCAACUGCAUCACUACCAGAUGGACCUGCGUUGUAUUAGCUAGUUGGUGAGGUAACGGCUCACCAAGGCGACGAUACAUAGCCGACCUGAGAGGCGAAUCGGCCACGCUGGGACUGGAACACGGCCCGGACUCCUACGGGAGGCAGCAGUAGGGAAUCUUCGGCAAUGGGGGGAACCCUGACCAAGCAACGCCGCGUGAGUGAAGAAGGUUGUCGGAUCGUAAAGCUCUGUUGUAAGAGAAGAUCGGGUGUGAGAGUGGAAAGUUCACACUGUGACGGUAUCUUACCAGAAAGGGACGGCUAACUACGUG
rnacentral:rRNA from 1 species